UGAAUGUCACACUACAUCCUGAAAGACGUCGUGCACUGAUUGGUCGGGGUCAAACGUGUAGUGUAGCCUCUCUCUCGGACAAGACAUGGCAAGAAUUUAUAAAUUGUGCACCAAUGAU